rnacentral:rRNA from 1 species
GGGAAACGCCCGGUCACAUUCCGAACCCGGAAGCUAAGACUCUCUGCGCCGAUGGUACUGCAGGGGGGACCCUGUGGGAGAGUAGGACACCGCCGGAC